UAUUAUGAAUAAGUAUAGUUACGUAUCGUAUACAUCGGCAACAAACUAAAAUCGAAUAGUUCCUAUCAAUUAAAUUAUUAAUAAAGGAAAAUGAACGUCACUUUUUCGGCAAUGAAGUCAGAGACGCGGAUGCUUACCUUGCUAACAGUAAAACCAUUGUUGCCGAUAAUUGCAGCCAAAUUGUGCACCUCGGACAAAGCCAUUUGUUAAAGAUCACUGAAAAUCACCUCCACUCCUUGCCAUUACCCUUUCACUUGUGCGGCUGUCUUCUAGCAGUAUGCACACCCACACCAACCUACACUUUCUUUAAACGUAUCUGGCUAACACCUCACAACACGACGUACAUUAACGAUGCUACUAUAAGAGAGUAGAAUAUAGAUAGAACUAUGGUUGUUAUACUAUAUAUACAUACCAUAUAUGUAUAUUAUGCGAUCAUGUAGUUAAAUGUGAAUAAUAAAUAUUGAAUAUAUAAUA